AAGCACCUUUACCUGCUGAGCCAUCUUGCCAGACUUCAUUGUUGUUGUUGUUGUUGUUGUUGUUGUUAACACAACAGAAUCUCACUGUGCUUCCAAGGCUGGACUUGAACUCCUGAGUGCCACUGAUCUUCCUGACUCCUCAGAGAUUGGGUGUCUGGGCGAAUGUCCCUGUGCCUAGCCUUUUACUAACAUCAUGCCUUAAUAUACCUUGUUUUCCAUUUAUGGGUCAAUAUCAACACACUAUUAUUUGAGGUUCAUAGUUUACAUUAGACUCGUGCUGUGUUAUGCAAGUUCCCUGGAUCUUGACAAAUGUCACCAUUACAGCAUCAUACAGACUUGUUUCACUGCUCUGAAAAUCCCCCUCAGUGCUCUCGGCAUGGCGACCUCCCCACCUCAAGGCCCUGCCAAGCACUCCACUCAUAAUAAUUGUUGCUCCAUUAUUGUGCCUUUCUGGAAUGUCCUAUCAUAGGACAUGCACGAUGUGGGGUUUAUCCAUCUGCUUCCCACUUUUGUGGAUUACAAACCUCUGUAAACAUCUGUGCGUAGCUUUUUGUGUGGACAUAGGUUUCCAGCAAAUGUAUCCGAGGGCAGCCCCCGAGUCAUGUGGUGAAGCUCUGUUCAGUUUUUCACAGGACUGCCAAGCUGUCUUCUGGCCAGCAGUGAAUGGGAGCUCCUGCUGCUCCCUCCUCAUUUGUGACUGUCCGAUUCUUGGAUGUCAGCCAUUCUGAGAGGUGUGCCGUGGUCCCUGCGGUGGCUUCCAUCUGGGGUUCCCUCGUGACACACGAUGUCUCACAUCUGCUCCUGCACACGUUUGCCAUCUGCCACUCUUCAUAAAAUACACGCCCAGGUGACAGCUGGGGCUUCUGGUCCCUCAAAAGUCAGAUAAGAUUCAUUAAGUCCCUUAUUCCAAGCCUGUGAACAUGCUAAUGCCUCCUUGAGAUAAAGGGAGGCAAGAUUAGACUAGGAGAAGCUUCUAGAAGUGGAGGCAUCUACCACACUUAUUUCCACACGGAACCUGAGUGCCUUUCCAGUCCCCCUCAUGUGAUCUUGGCAAGGACCACCCUCCAGUGGGUGGGGCAGGUACCGUUUACGAUCAUUACUUGAGAAAUGAAAAGUGUGGAGGUAAGUUGUUCCAGCUUACACACCCUGAGGAGGGAGAGUGAGGCAUGAGCUCCGGUCACUCAUCACUCAGCCCUAAGCGUCUUGUGGUGGCAGAAUUGGCCUGUUUGCUGAAGACUGGUGAAGCUGGUAAGUACCCUAGCCACCUCUUUGUUUUCUUUUUCUUUAUUAAACAUUUACUUAAUUGUUCGUUUAUUUUGUGUGGGGGGUGGGAGUUGUGAGCACCUGUGGAGACCAGAGGACAGCUUUUGGGAGUCAGUACCAUCCUUCCACCAUGUGGGUUCUGGGGCUCAAACCCAGGCAAUCAGCCCCGGUGGCAGCUGCCCUUACCUCUGACCAUUCCGUCCUCCCACAGAUCUUUCUGUGUGAUCCAGGUUCUCCUUAAACUCCCCAGCCUCCUGCCUCAGCCUCCCGGUGUCACAGGCUUGGGCCGCCACCCCUGGCUUGUGUCAUGAAGGCCUUUAACAUGUCUACGUCCAGACAGUCAGGAAAUGGAAGCGGAGAUUCACUGAAUCUCGCUUGGUCUCAGGUGGAGCUGGAGUCUGGGGGCUCCCCAGUCUCUCCUGGUGGGGCUCUGGAAAUAGGCAGCUUCCCAGCAGUUAUGGAAGGCCUGGCAUGCUUUGACAACUUGCUUGGGUCCUUCAUGCCCUCCGUGUGCUGGCCAGCUGCCAUCAGAUAAUAAAGAACUCCCUUGGGAGAGUGUCCUUCACACCUGCCUUUUCCUUUACGGGACUCUGACACCUGAGGCUGCCGUUCUCCCAGCCUGCCACUCACAAGCAAGUACCAAGCAUGCCUAGGCCGCAGGGCCCAUGCCUUUCUGUCUGCCUCUCCACGUCUCUCUUCUGCCUCCUGAUUUACCUCAUGGCUACUUUGUAUGGCUCUGCAUGGCAGUGAGGUGCACAUUCCUGCCGGGGACUGCAAGUAGCAGCCAGAUCCCCAUCUGUUGGUCAGCUCUUUUUUUUUUUUUUUAAUCUCAUGUAGCCAAGGUUAGCCUCAAACUUUCAGAGUAGCAGAGGAUGACUUUGAACCUCUGAUCCUUCUGCUUCUACCUCCAAGUGCUGGGAUUACAUGCAUAUAAUGCCAUGCCUGUUUUAUAUGGUGCUGGGACUCAAAUUCAGGGCCUUAUAUGCUAGGCAGUACUCUACCACUGAGUUAUAUCCUAGCCCAAGUCAACGUAUUUUAAAACAGCGAGUGUGAUGUAUUGAUUUCUUACCCAGAAUUUCUGGCAAUUUCCAGAAAUAUGGCAGUGUGGCCCUUCCUGGAGGCUGCAACCUGGAACAUGCCCUGGACCAUUGUGCUGAGAGGCAGAAUGUGGGGAGCAGAAGAUCAGCAUCUUGCAAGACAAUUUUGGCAAUUCAGAGACAUGGGAAGCAUCCCUAGCUCAUGGGAUGGACAAGAUGGGCAGCAGGCUGGAUUGGAUCCCUGAGCUGUCUUGGACUGGACAUUGACCCCUGGAUUUUCUGCCAACUCCGUCAUGGUUUCUUUCUCCUCCUUUGCUCUCUUCUCCCCUCCCCUGCCCUUCCAGAGCUAAUCUAGCUGAGGAGAGAGAUACAAGCAACUCAGUAAGCCAGUGCUACCAGGUGGUGAGAGCUGCAGGUUCAACGAAGUCCAGUAGAACAAGACCUGACAUAGAGGCUAGGAAGGGACAGGUCCACAUCCCACAGUGGUGGCAGGUGUCCUAGGUCUUCACAUGGCCGAGCUAGAGGCACCUGCCCACCUUCGUUUGCUCUGCUUUCCUUCCUAGGACCAGGUCUUUACUUCCUGACUAGUUUCCCUGGAAGUACUUUAUAAUAAACGACUUAAAAAACA